rnacentral:rRNA from 1 species
GACGAACGCUGGCGGCGUGCUUAACACAUGCAAGUCGAGCGGUAAGGCCCUUUCGGGGGUACACGAGCGGCGAACGGGUGAGUAACACGUGGGUGACCUGCCCUCAGCUCUGGGAUAAGCCUGGGAAACCGGGUCUAAUACCGGAUAUGACUCCAUGACGCAUGUUGUGGGGUGGAAAGCCUUGUGCGGCUGAGGAUGGGCCCGCGGCCUAUCAGCUUGUUGGUGGGGUGAUGGCCUACCAAGGCGACGACGGGUAGCCGGCCUGAGAGGGCGACCGGCCACACUGGGACUGAGACACGGCCCAGACUCCUACGGGAGGCAGCAGUAGGGAAUCUUGCGCAAUGGGCGAAAGCCUGACGCAGCGACGCCGCGUGAGGGAUGACGGCCUGGUGUAACU